rnacentral:rRNA from 1 species
AUUGAACGCUAGCGGGAUGCUUUACACAUGCAAGUCGAACGGCAGCGCGGACUUCGGUCUGGCGGCGAGUGGCGAACGGGUGAGUAAUGUAUCGGAACGUGCCCAGUAGCGGGGGAUAACUACGCGAAAGCGUAGCUAAUACCGCAUACGCCCUACGGGGGAAAGCAGGGGAUCGUAAGACCUUGCACUAUUGGAGCGGCCGAUAUCGGAUUAGCUAGUUGGUGAGGUAACGGCUCACCAAGGCGACGAUCCGUAGCUGGUUUGAGAGGACGACCAGCCACACUGGGACUGAGACACGGCCCAGACUCCUACGGGAGGCAGCAGUGGGGAAUUUUGGACAAGGGGGGCAACCCGGAUCCAGCCAUCCCGCGUGUGGGAUGAAGGCCUUCGGGUUGUAAAGCACUGUUGGCAGGAAAGAAACGUCGCGGGCUAAUACACCGUGGAACUGACGGUACCUGCAGAAUAAGCACCGGCUAACUACGUG